UGAGAACUCCGAAGAAAUGGAAUCCAAACUCCCCUUACAUCCCGUUUCGGUUUUUCAUGAAGGAAUUCUCGAAAACCUUCCCUCCAUCUGACAUUGAUUUGGUCUCAAAGUAUUAUAAAGCUUACAAAGAGAGAAGGAUGUCAAAGCAGCUGCUAGUACGAAUAGUCAGGAAAAUCACUGGUGAUAGGUGGCUAAUUGGAAUCAUCAACAGUUUCCGAGCUAAGUAUUAUCGGGCGUGAAGCGGGUGAUCGUGGGACCAGGGACGGACUUGAAUAAGAUUUGGAUGCGGG